rnacentral:rRNA from 1 species
CCUACGGGAGGCAGCAGUAAGGAAUUUUGCUCAAUGGGCGAAAGCCUGACGCAGCAACGCCGCGUGAACGAGACGCCCUUCGGGGGUUAUAGUUCUGUCAGUUGAGACGAUAAAUGACGGUACCCACAGAGGAAUCACCGUCUCAUUCCGAGCCAGCAGCCACGGUUAUACGGCGGGUGCAAGCGUUAUCCGGAAGCAUUGGGCGUAAAGCGUACUUAGGCGGGAUGUAAAGUCAGGUGGUAAAGGCGCAGGCUCAAACUGGGUAUGGCACUUGAUACUUGCAAGCUGGAAGGCGGUAGAGGUAAAGGGAAUUCGUGGUGUAGCGGUGAAAUGCUUAGAUAUCACGAAGAACUCCGAUUGCGAAGGCAGCAUACCGGCGCCCAAAUGACGCUGAAGCACGAAAGCGUGGGUAUCGAACAGGAUUAGAUACCCUAGUAGUC